rnacentral:lncRNA from 1 species
AAAGGGCAUGUAGACUAGUGGUUUCAAGGGCCUUAGUAGCACGUAUUCGACUCCUGGUUGGAGCGAAUAUUCUAGGAUUUUCUAACGGCUUUGUGCUUUCAGGGGUAGGCGCCGUCCUCACUGAUCAGUCUUCGGAGAUGCUCAUAAGGAUAGGGUUUGUGUACGUGCGUUCUUAGGAGAGGAGAGAGUGUGCGUGCGUUGUACUGUGUUCCUAAAAAAAGACCAAAUGGACUAGUUAUUUUUACGAUACCCGAGGGUUUCCAUUCAAUCACAAAUAUGAAGUAUGUAUCAAUAGCAACAAACUAUGAGCAAGCAAAAAAUAC